CUCUAAAUCUUAAAAUGUUUAGCUAGUCAUUUGUUAUGCUAACAAGCUAGCAAGAGGUUGCAUAGCAACAGCAUCCGGUAGACAGGCAAAGCUCUACAAUGCUCAACUGAAACGAUACCGUUCGUUUACAGUAUACUAAAAGGAACUCUAGUAUGUAGUAUAUACUCAUUAAGUAUACAGUAUGUUAGUAUGGGUAUUCGAACACAGCUAUAGUCUGCCAGUUGACUGGGUAGUACUGCUUCCCUCUCAGCCUGGUCUGACUCUGUCUGUUGGGAGAGUUUCUCUACAGUUUUACUGUUUUUACUUGUUUUUAUUCAGGUCCCAGUGUCUCAGUUGCUAUGGUGUCCUGAGGACAAACAUUCCAUCAAUACAACCAAAACAAAAAUAUAUAUUUUUUAGCUACAAAACAGCUAUAAAUACAUAACAUCAGGUUAUUACAAUAAGUUAUAAUAGUCAUUUGAAACAAUUGCACACUUCAGUGAACUCAUUUAACAACAGAGUUUUAAACUGCCCUAUCGGCGCCAGGGAAUCCAGGUGGAAUUUGUUUUGUAAGGUAUUCUAUAACUGUGAUGCGUUAAAACUAAAGGUGGAUUUACCAAACGUUGAAGACAAGCGGGGACCAACCUUGCGAACGGGUCUGGUAUCUCAUUUUUUAUAUUUCAAGAGGGAAGUGAGGUAUGAUGGAAGCUUUGUAAACAAGAAGGGAGUAAUGAAGUGAUCUAUGGGACUUCCGUGAGGAAGUGACCUUCUGAUACAGGAUGCAGUGAUGAGUAUUAAAACUGUCACCGGUAAUAAAGCAAAGGGUGCUAUGGUAGACGGCAUCCAAUGGUUUAAGAGUAGCGGCUGCUGCAUUCUGGUAAAUGGUGUCAACAUAUUGAAGAACUGGCAGGAUAGCAUGAAAACACACCAAUGUAUGCAUUUUAACUAAUUAGCAACUUUGCAACUACUUACUACUUCUUAGCAUGUUAGCUUAGCAUGCAACUACUUAGCAUGUUAGCUAACCCUUCCCCUAACCUGGCUAACUUUAGCAACAACAAAUUGGAAUACGUUUUGCUCUGAGACCAGAUUGUCCCUCUCAGUUCUCUGUGGGAAUGAGUUAGUAGACAACAUGUAUCAGAUAGAGAUGGUGUGAUGAUCACUUUUCACCACUAGUUUGGGGGGAUUAUUUUACAACUUUAUUUAAUGAGACACAGGUUAUGAAAUGAAUACAUGUGUUUAUUAAUUGUCGUUAAAACUAGAUUAGUUAUUUUAGUUACUGAUCAUGAAUGUGUUUGGAUAACUGCAUUGAAGCAAACUUUAUUGAUCUGCCAAUGAAAAUAAAGUUACAUGAAUAUGUACUGGUCAACCUCUUCUUCUCUUUAGUAUUCAGUUCUUCAUAUUAGAUCUGACAGUAUGAAUGGUUCUUAUGGGCUGAGUGCUGGGAGUGUUUUUGUAUGACUACAGUCAGGAGUUCUCUCUGACCCUGUGUUGUCACCAGCAUAUUAAGUUUGUUCAUCUUAAGAUAGCCAGGUGAGACAACCACAUAUCACAGUAAAUACAUUUCUCCUCAAUUAGUCAGUGUCACAUUAUUAUUAUUAUUUGUAUUAGUAUUUUGAGGGGAUACUCUUUAAAGACGUAGGGUUUCAGACCUUUUCGGUCAGAUGGGCAGGGACUCUGCUGUCCUAGCAUCAGAUGGAAGCUGGUGCCACCAUUGGGGUGCCAGGACAGAGAAGUGCUUUGACUGGGCUGAGAGGGAGCUUGACCUCCUGUAGCAGUGGGACGGCCAUGAGACCAGAGGUGUCAGAACUGAGUGCUCAGGUUGG